rnacentral:rRNA from 1 species
CAGCAGCCACGGGAAUACGGAGGGUGCAAGCGUUAAUCGGAAUUACUGGGCGUAAAGCGCACGCAGGCGGUUUGUUAAGUCAGAUGUGAAAUCCCCGAGCUUAACUUGGGAACAGCAUUUGAAACUGGCAAGCUAGAGUCUUGUAGAGGGGGGUAGAAUUCCAGGUGUAGCGGUGAAAUGCGUAGAGAUCUGGAGGAAUACCGGUGGCGAAGGCGGCCCCCUGGACAAAGACUGGCGCUCAGGUGCGAAAGCGUGGGGAGCAAACAGGAUUAGAUACCCCUGUAGUCCCUGUCUCUUAUAC